UUAUUUAUCUGUCAUAUAUCAUUUUUCAUAUCCUAUUUUUAUUAGGGAAAACGGCAUCGGCCUACCUAAACCUAAUCCCAUUCAUAUAUAGACUUAGGAACUCGUCGCGGGUAAAUUUCCGUGUAUUAGGAUAAUAAAGUUCCCUGGAAAACUAGGCACACAAGCGCAACGAAAUACAGCACGUGCCUUGGACCCGAAAAUAAAGCGUGAAAACACAAUUAGUUCUCGUCUAAAUAUGUUUUUAUAGAAGAGUUUGGAUAAUAGUCUUCGGACCAUGGGAAUAGUUCCUCACAUAAUCUUUUAUGCCUAUUUUUUCUUGACUAAAUUAGAAAAGCGAUUUACGAGCAACUAAAAUGACAGGUAAUGUUCCGUUAAUUAUCGUCGGUCAUUAAACUAUUCAUUUAAUGACUUUAGACUUGAAUUUGAUGUCCAUUGCAAAUGUCGAACUAAGGGCUUUGUGGCAUUGUCCAAUUCAUUGCUAAUAGAUAGAUACAAAAAACAAAAAGCAACAAUGAUCUGCAGCUUCGCUUGCAACUUAGCCGGAAUAAUCAGCAAGUCAUAUCUGAAGCACCUGAGCCGAAAAAAAAAACGCAGCCAUAAGCAGAAACUUGCAAGCCCUAAUGAAGCAAGCUUAAACUGCGAUUUAGAAGAUGAGAUCAUGUGCUUUUGGUCAAAGCAUUAAUAGUUUUUCAAAUUAACUUGCUAAAAGCUGUUAUUUAUAUAUAUAAAUGUGUUUGUACCAAAAUUGAUAACGAUUUGUGCAAAUAUCAACAAGACUACGGCGGGAUUUAUUAAAAGAAA